CUCCCGUAUUCGCCUGUGAGUGGCGCUGAGGCGAGCCAGCAGGCCCUGGUAGUCAAAACGACCACGCUUCUCGCCAAAUGGGUCCUGGGUCAGAAAGGCAUGGACAGAAAAAUAAACAGAAAAGUGAGCUAAACUCAGGUGACAGUACAGACAGAAACGGGGGGAGAAAGGUGUGGAGCAUGCAACAAAGGCCCCACACGGAACUGAAACGGUGAUGCUGUUGUUUAAGGUUCAGAUGAAAAUAUAACUCGUUUGAGGUGUCUAUGAAAACAAACCAGACAGGAACUGACAAAUUCCUGAGAUAAUUUAUAUAUUUUACAUGCAGUUUUCAGACAGUCCCAGACUUGAGCUCAGCAGUUAACAAAGUGCCAGGCUUCAAUCCUUUACUUUACAUAUCUUAGACAUAUUAGAAUAGGCUGCAUUCUGUAAGAUGUGCAUCACAUGCUGCCUCUUGCAGUUCUUGUUCACAGUGCACAGAGCGAUUACAUGCAUUACUGUUGAUACUACUUACUUCCUAUAUGUGAUAUUGUUUCAUCCCUGGGGUGGUCAAAAUAGAUGAUCUUUUUUUUUUUGUUGUUUUUAAUUCACAACUUGCACAGUGCUUGUACAGAGAAAGACACUGACUACACAAAACAUUUGUAAUGUUGAUAUUUGUUCAGCCUUGGCCUGAAAAUUCAAUUGUAGAAUUUUUACAUUUUUUUUAGUAUUGAUACUUUUCACAACCUUAAUGUAUAUUCUUAAAUCUUUGCAUCAUAAAUAUUUGCCUCACGGGAUUUUCUUACAUCGUCACUAGAAAUAUGCUGACAUUAUACUGCAAAUGCGUAAUUAAAAACGCAGACAAACAUGGAUUAGAAUAAAUACUAAAUCUAGUCACCUGCAUGUUCUGUCCCUGUAGAUGCAGUCUCUCUUUGCAGACUCCCUCGUAGAAGUCAUAGUACUCAAGGAAGGACUUUUCCAUCACACUCCUAAAAAACACACACGCACACACAAAUCACCUGAUCAGACAUAAAAAAGAGAGUGAAUGAAAAGGAGUGAGCGAACGAGGAGGGAUAGUAAGGAGUGGAGAGGAGAAACGACGUUAAAGACAGAUGGAAAGUAAAGAUUAGUGGGACAAUUAUGUUGGUCUCACCACAGAGCCUCAGGGCAGGGGACUUUGCCCUCCAGCAUGUCACACACAGCUACCCUCAUGGUUUCAUGCCUGAUACACUCAUUGUAGUUCUUACUGUCCCCCGGAUGACGCUCCUGAGAGAGAGAGAGAGAGAGAGACACAGAC